AGUCAACGGUAACAGGUCUUCGGAUGCUGACGAGUGGCGGACGGGUGAGUAAUGCGUAGGAAUCUGUCUUUGAGUGGGGGACAACCCAGGGAAACUUGGGCUAAUACCGCAUAAGCCCUGAGGGGGAAAGCGGGGGAUCUUCGGACCUCGCGCUGGAAGAGGAGCCUACGUCUGAUUAGCUAGUUGGUAGGGUAAAGGCCUACCAAGGCGACGAUCGGUAGCUGGUCUGAGAGGACGACCAGCCACACUGGGACUGAGACACGGCCCAGACUCCUACGGGAGGCAGCAGUGGGGAAUUUUUCGCAAUGGGGGCAACCCUGACGAAGCAAUGCCGCGUGAAUGAAGAAGGCCUUCGGGUUGUAAAGUUCUUUCGUGGAGGACGAAAAGGUGGGUGCUAAUAUCGCCUGCUGUUGACGUGAAUCCAAGAAGAAGCACCGGCUAACUCCGUGCCAGCAGCCGCGGUAAUACAAA
rnacentral:rRNA from 1 species